rnacentral:lncRNA from 1 species
AUAAAAUCAUUCUUAUACGGUUAAAAACAAUGAGAAACAUCUAUUUUUAAUCUAUAAAAUAAAAUCAAACAGACACAUAAAAAUCCAAUUGCACGUGUUGGUUUAAUCUAUUCAUAUCUUUAUUUAUGUUUACAUCGCUUAUAUGGUCAUCUGAUGUCAAAUCGAUAGUUAAUUAGAUGGCGUCUGGACUAAAAUACACACGAAAGGAACCUAUAUAUUAUCUACC